rnacentral:rRNA from 1 species
GGCGGCUGCCUUACCAUGCAAGUCGAACGGCAGCACGGGUGCUUGCACCUGGGUGGCGAGUGGCGAACGGGUGAGUAAUACAUCGGAACAUGUCCUGUAGUGGGGGAUAGCCCGGCGAAAGCCGGAUUAAUACCGCAUACGAUCUACGGAUGAAAGCGGGGGACCUUCGGGCCUCGCGCUAUAGGGUUGGCCGAUGGCUGAUUAGCUAGUUGGUGGGGUAAAGGCCCACCAAGGCGACGAUCAGUAGCUGGUCUGAGAGGACGACCAGCCACACUGGGACUGAGACACGGCCCAGACUCCUACGGGAGGCAGCAGUGGGGAAUUUUGGACAAUGGGCGAAAGCCUGAUCCAGCAAUGCCGCGUGUGUGAAGAAGGCCUUCGGGUUGUAAAGCACUUUUGUCCGGAAAGAAAUCCUGAGGGCUAAUAUCCUUCAGGGAUGACGGGACCGGAAGAAUAAGCACCGGCUAACUACGUGCCAGCAGCCGCGGUAAUACGUAGGGUGCGAGCGUUAAUCGGAAUUACUGGGCGUAAAGCGUCCGCAGGCGGUUUGUUAAGACCGAUGUGAAGUCCCCGGGCUCAACCUGGGAACUGCAUUGGUGACUGGCUAGCUAGAGUAUGGCAGAGGGGGGUAGAAUUCCACGUGUAGCAGUGAAAUGCGUAGAGAUGUGGAGGAAUACCGAUGGCGAAGGCAGCCCCCUGGGCCA